GACGAACGCUGGCGGCGUGCCUAAUACAUGCAAGUAGAACGCUGAAGGAGGAGCUUGCUUCUCUGGAUGAGUUGCGAACGGGUGAGUAACGCGUAGGUAACCUGCCUGGUAGCGGGGGAUAACUAUUGGAAACGAUAGCUAAUACCGCAUAAUAGCAGUUGUUGCAUGACAACUGUUUGAAAGGUGCAAUUGCACCACUACCAGAUGGACCUGCGUUGUAUUAGCUAGUUGGGGGGGUAACGGCUCACCAAGGCGACGAGACAUAGCCGACCUGGGAGGGUGAUAGGCCACACUGGGAGGGGAACACGGCCCAGACUACUACGGUAGGGAGCAGUAGGGAAUCGUCGGCAAUGGACGGAAGUCUGACCGAGCAACGCCGCGUGAGAGACGGAGGUUUUCGGAUCGUAAAGCUCUGUUGUGAGUGGAGAACGGGUUUGAGCGUGGAAAGUUCACACUGUGACGGUAUCUGACCAGGAAGGGACGGCUAACUACGUG
rnacentral:rRNA from 1 species